GAAAGCUGGUCUCAUCACCUGGAGUACCAGUCCCACCAAGGGGCCUCAUGGGAGACGGACGGGGCACACACAAAUGUACGGGAAGGGCUAGAACAGCAGGGCCCUGUGCCUGCCCCGUGGCUGCGGGUAUAUUAAUAGUUGCUGGGUCCCAGGCGGGCAGUGCCCACAUGCCUUCAGAGCCGGUGUGGUCCACAGGAAGGCAACACCGUGCCUCCGGGGAAAGAGGCCUCUGAGUUCCUGCUGAACCACUCAACAGCUUAAAAUACAACCAGCCCGCUCCCUGCCUGCCAGCUGCUGGGGAAGGGCUAAAAUUCUACCCUCCCCCAACUGGGCAUGAGACCAGGGCCCAGGAGGAGAGGACAGCCGUCGGGGGCCCAACUGGCUGCUGGGAGAGGAAGCUGGGCAGCAGGAGAGGGCGGCCAGGAGAGGGGCGAGACUCCCAGCAGCCGCCACACUGCGCCCAGGCCAGCCCAAGACCAAAGGACAGGAGAGACUGAGCCCUCACAGAGGAAGGCACUGUUGGAUCAGAAGACUGGAAGAGGCCGGAGAUGCUGACCCCUGUGGACACAGGCUGACCAGAGCGGCAGGAGGAGCUCAUCCAGGCCGGCCCCCAACCUGUGCGCCCAGCUCUCCCAGCCCCAGUGCAGCAAGCAGUUCCAGGCCUGCCCUGAGCCACCAUCAACUUGCAUCAUUGGAAACCCAUGAUGAUCUGAUAUCAGGGACAUGGUGAGAAGUCCUCAAAGGUAGACCUCUGAGUCAUAGGGUGGGGCAAGGGUGAGUCAUUGCUGAGCCCUUAAUCAUCCAGGUUGGUUCUAAACACUCUGAAGCUACAACUUUUGGAGACUUCUAAGUAACAGCAAAGGCUGUGGUCUUCAGAAACUAUCUUUUUCACUCGGCCUAUCCUGACAAAACAGAUGAAAACACAAAGGUGUUUUAUAAUCGCACUUUCAAAAGCAUCGAUUUUAUUCUGUUGGUAGUUGGGGGGCUCACAGUAUCUUGAAACCUUUGUGUCCCAACCGGCCUCAUUUGCUGCCGUCAUUGAGGGGAAACAAUGAGAGUACUCACUCUGAGACCACAUCUUAAAAUCCUACCAAGUUGAAUUACUUGAGAUGUCAAAUUGUGAGGUACUAAGCGGGUAGAGUUGAAACCCUAAAAUCUAGCCAUGUUUUGCUACUUCGCUAGUUCUGUCAAAUUCUAGUUUCUCCAGUGUAGUCUGCAUCGGCGCCUCUUCCGUAUCACUGGGUUCCAGCUAGGUGAGGCUUGUGGUGUCCUGACCAAAUAGAUGGCAUCCUUGGGGGAAUUCUGUACACAUUCCUAGGGAGUUGGAACAUUCUGGAGUUCCCCUUUUGAGAUUGCUUUCCUGAGCCCUGCACUCACUCAACAGGAACCAACUCAUUUUGUGAACCUACUAUGCUCUGUGCCAUAUGGAGCAUACAAAUAAUUUCCACCCUGCUCACCCACAAGAAGUUCAUAGAAAGGCAGGAGCAAGCCUCCAGAGGAGAAAAUUCCUCUUUAUUUUUGACAAGUAUUGAAGGAGUAAGGACCUCUUGUUGGCUUCGUCUGGCUUCCAGUAACCAGGCUGUCAGCAAAAAUCAAAUCCACCCUUGGAAUGAAAAUUGGCCACUUUGUACAGCCAUUCAUGACACUGUACUGCGGCUCUGGCUGUGCCUGUCAUUGGGGACAGCUAAAUCAUGCUUGUGUUAUUAGCCUCAGUGGGUAAUAACAGUGACAAGUAGACACAUUUGGUGUUGCUGAGCUGACUGUAACAAGCCCCUGGGAGCAAUUUCCAAAGAGGAAAUUCCAGACAGAUCUUGCAUUUAGCAGCGCUGAAAGAUAAGUGGGGCCUCCUGGGAUCUUGGACCUGGGGGACCCCACAAUAAUUUGGACACCAAAGAUCUGGUGUGUUCAGUUGUAUCCAGCUCACAGGUUCUGUUUGCAUCCCACACAUGAGUUAGGUAGGAUCUUGAUUGUCCAGAACCUGGCUUGGCUGGUUUGGGAGUGCAUGAUAGAGCUGGUUCGAAUUGUGAGGGAAGGUGAAGCAGAGAAAAGACAAGCUAGGGCUGGUUAGCAACUUUCUGCUGUGUCAGGAGCCCCAGAGAGAGGUUUCCCAAGCCCUGCCCUGAUUUGCAUUUUUUAUUGUGAAGCCCAUGGGAUGUUUAUUUAUUUAUUUUUAUUAUGGUAUAAUAUAGAUACACCUUUUCAGUUUAUAGUUCUGAAUACAGAUAGUGGUAUAACCACCACCACAGUCAAGAUAUAGAACAUUUUCAGCAUCCCAAAAAUCUCUCCUGUACCCCCUGUAGUAGAUCCCAGCCGCCAACAACCACUUUCUGCCCCAAUACUUUUGCCUUUUCCAGAAGGUGCUAUUAUAUGGCAUUACACAGGAAAUAGCCUUUUGAGUCUGCCUUCUUUCACUAACCAUGUAUUUAAAGAGCAUCUGCAUUUAAAGAGUUCCUGUAUCAGUAGCUUGUUUCUUUUUUAUGGCUGAAUAAUAUUCCAUCGUGUUGCUAGGCCAGUUUGUUUAUCCAAUCACCCACUGAAGGACAUUUAGGUUUUAAUGGCUGUCGGUAAUUAUGAGUAAAACCUUGAUAAUGAUUGGUUCAUGGGUUUUAUGUGAACAUAGGUUUUUAUUUCACACAGGUGUUCUACCAAGGGUGGGAUUGCUGGCUCAUAUGGCAGUUGUGCUUUUGAAGGCCUUUUUGAUGAAGAGAAUUGAAAAGAGUGGUGAUGCACUUUUUUUUAUAAUUAAGGCUUUAUCAUCAUCUGAAUCAUAUCUUACACAAGCUCAGUGCUUAUCAGAAAGCACUCAGUGUGCUAAACAUGCUACACUUCAGCAUCUUAUUCCCUGGGUGACCUCAGGCAAGUCACAUGACCUCAGAGCCUCGACUGUAAAAAGAAGGUUAACACUAGGCCAACCUCCUAGGAUUAUUAUGAGGAUUAAAUGAAUUAAUACACACUGACCACUUGAAAAUGGCUUGGCACAUAGUUAACUGUUAUUAUAAUGUUCAUUUCCUGGCUCCUCUUAAUUCCUUCCACAUAGUAACCUUGGGUGGUAAGAGCUACUCUUAUCCUCAUUUUAUGGAGGACACACCUAACACUCUGAGAGAUCAAGCAAGUUAUGUAAGAUGGCACAGGUAGUAAAUGAGUAAAUUGUGGGUCUGGGAUUUCAGCUGAGGCUAACUCCAGACUCACCUGCUUAGUUCCUAUAUCAGUCAGGGGUCUACCAAGGAACCAGAACCAAUGGGCUAUAUGUGUUUGUCAGUGUGUGAGUAUUAAGAGAUUUAUUUUAAGGCAUUGGCUUACACGAUUAUGGGGAGUGGCAAGCAAGUCUGAAAUCUGUAGGGUAGACCAGCAGGCUGGAAACUCUUGGCCAGAAGCUGAUACUUCAUCCUCAGGGAAACUUCAGUAUUUUCAUUUAUAGUUAACUUUUGUUUUGUUUUUUAAUUCUUUUCAAUUACAAUUUACAUUUAAUAUUAUUUUGUAUUAGUUUGAGGUGUACAGUAUAGUGUAUAAUCAUAUACUUCACAAAUGUUCCCCCUGAUAUUGCCAGCACCAAACUGUCACCAAACAUACUUAUUACAAUAUAAUUGACUAUAUUUCCUAUGCCGUACUUUACACCCUCAUGAUUAUUCUGGAACUACCAAUCUGUACUUCUCAAUCCCUCCGCCUUUUUCACCUAGUCCCCCAACACCCUUCCCCACUGAAAACCAUCAGUCUGUUCUCUGUAUCUGAGUCCUUUUCUGUUUUGUUUAUAUUGUUCUUUAGAUUCCACAUAUAAGUGAAAUCGUAUGGUAUUUGUCUUUCUUUAACUGACUUAUUUCACUUAGCACAAUACCCUUUAGGUUCAUCCACACUGUCGCAAAUAGUAAGAUUCAUUCUUUUUUCAUGACUAAUAUUCCAUUGUAUAUAUAUAACACAGCUUUUUUAAUCCAGCAUCUAUUUUUAAUUUAUUUUUGUUAAUCCUCACCCAAGGACAUU